UACGUAGGGUGCGAGCGUUGUCCGGAAUUAUUGGGCGUAAAGAGCUCGUAGGCGGUUUGUCGCGUCUGCUGUGAAAACCCGAGGCUCAACCUCGGGCCUGCAGUGGGUACGGGCAGACUAGAGUGCGGUAGGGGAGAUUGGAAUUCCUGGUGUAGCGGUGGAAUGCGCAGAUAUCAGGAGGAACACCGAUGGCGAAGGCAGAUCUCUGGGCCGUAACUGACGCUGAGGAGCGAAAGCGUGGGGAGCAAACAGG
rnacentral:rRNA from 1 species